UGGGGAAUAUUGCACAAUGGGCGCAAGCCUGAUGCAGCCAUGCCGCGUGUGUGAAGAAGGCCUUCGGGUUGUAAAGCACUUUCAGCGAGGAGGAAGGUGGUGAGCUUAAUACGCUCAUCAAUUGACGUUACUCGCAGAAGAAGCACCGGCUAACUCCGUGCCAGCAGCCGCGGUAAUACGGAGGGUGCAAGCGUUAAUCGGAAUUACUGGGCGUAAAGCGCACGCAGGCGGUUUGUUAAGUCAGAUGUGAAAUCCCCGGGCUCAACCUGGGAACUGCAUUUGAAACUGGCAAGCUAGAGUCUCGUAGAGGGGGGUAGAAUUCCAGGUGUAGCGGUGAAAUGCGUAGAGAUCUGGAGGAAUACCGGUGGCGAAGGCGGCCCCCCUGGACGAAGACUGACGCUCAGGUGCGAAAGCGUGGGGCAGCAAACAGGAUUAGAUACCCUGGUAGUCCACGCUGUAAACGAUGUCGAUUUGGAGGUUGUGCCCCUUGAGGCGUGG
rnacentral:rRNA from 1 species